rnacentral:RNase_P_RNA from 1 species
AGUAUGCUGGGUGAUCGCGCACGAGAGAAACGUGUGAGGAAAGUCCGAGCAUCGCAGGGCAAGGGUGCCGGAUAACGUCCGGCGAAGGCGACUUCAGGGAUAGUGCAACAGAGAGAUACCGCGAAAGCGCGAAAGCGCCCGCAAGGAUGGAAAGGUGAGGUAAGAGCUCACCAGCGGCAUGGCGACUUGCCGGCUAUGUAAACCCCACCCGAUGCAAGAUUGAUUGUGGAACACAUGUGGCGGCCCGUCACGUUCCCGGGUAAUCGCUGGAGCUGUCCGGCAACGGGCAGACUAGAUAGAUGGUCAUCCAAGACAGAACUCGGCUUAUAGGCAUGCUCA